rnacentral:misc_RNA from 1 species
AAACUGCGAUAAUUGUGGUGAAACGCAGAACACCAUGAACCACUGAAAUGUUGAACGCACACUGCAGCCUUCACUUUAUUUGGAGGCUAUGUACUGUUGAGUGUCGGUCCAUACCUGAUAACCAACACUUGUUGUGUCUGUCGGCGUGGAGUGAUAUUCACUUAUCACUCUUGAAAUCUCUCACUCCAUGUGAGAACGUUGGGUUCUGUUUGGAUAUCUGCCUGCGGAUAUCCAACCAGCCAGUGAUAGACGUGCUGGGAAGUCUCUUGACAGCCUGCGUAUGUGCAUUCAUUGCAGUAACAGGUGAAGAGCUGACUGACCACACACUCUUUCUGUCACAACUCAAUGACCUCAACAUUACAAGAUUACGCCCUGAACUUAA